AGGUGCCGCCGGGAGCCUCGGAGGGACGAAGCUGCGUGCAAAUGAGCGGUCCCAGAAGCAGGUGCUGUGUGGCCACCCCUUUGGAACCGGAUGCCCGUUUGAGGCACCACAAGCGAUGACAGCUGUGGUGUCUGCCUCUGGAAUGAGCAGCUGAUGAAGAGGAACCGGGCGACCGCCAGAACAUCCCAAUUAGCCAAUGCGUGGUGUUGAUGUUUUUGUUGCGGAUGGUUCUAGAUCCCUGGCCCUCUGAAAGCUAAGCUGAAGGACUGUGGCUGGGGAGGGAGUGGG